GCGUCUUUAGUUCAGUUGGUAGAACAUAGGUCUCCAAAACCUAGUGUCGAGGGUUCAAGUCCUUCAAGACGCGUCC
rnacentral:tRNA from 1 species